AACAAAUUGACCUCGAUUUUUUUUCUUACAACAAAUAACUCAGGACUGUCGUAAAGUCGACCAAAAAGGUAGCAAAUGUAACCAAAUAAAAACUCACCGGUCAACGCGACGCGCAUUGUCGGUCAUUUCCCCUGGAGGGAUCAACUGGCAGGACAUGGACACAGGACACGAAACAGUGAGCGACCACAGAGCACGUAAAAUGUCAAUGCCCACAAAAGGAGGAAUUAAAAAUAACAAGAAACGUUGAGUCGCUGUGGUUGACUAAGUUAUACCCUGCCAAUAUUAUAAAGCAUUUAAGUAUUACAAUCCAGCAUGUGAUAAAACAAAAUUUUGAUAGUUCAAGAUCUUGUCAUAAAUCAUUUGAAAUGUAUUAUCGGACGGAUUACUAUUUUGUUUUUUGAAUACAGGGUAUGCUGUACCGCAACAGCUGAAAGUCAUAAAAGAUGCAUAUAUGUGCGUAUAGCUGCUAUGUAAUUGUAUUCUCUAUAAAUAUAACAAAAAUUGUUUAUAAAAAUGGAAUCGAGCGCUCGCCGGCUUCUUCUCGCUCGUGUGGCCCAAAA